AGAGUUUGAUCCUGGCUCAGAACGAACGCUGGCGGCAGGCUUAACACAUGCAAGCCGAGCGCCCUGCUUGCAGGGAGCGGCAGACGGGUGAGUAACGCGUGGGAACGUGCCCUUCGGUACGGAAUAGCCCUGGGAAACUGGGUGUAAUACCGUAUACGACCUCCGGGUGAAAGAUUUAUCGCCGAAGGAUCGGCCCGCGUUAGAUUAGCUUGAUGGUGGGGUAAAGGCCUACCAUGGCGACGAUCUAUAGCUGGUCUGAGAGGACGAUCAGCCACAUUAGGACUGAGACACGGCCCAAACUCCUACGGGAGGCAGCAGUGGGGAAUAUUGGACAAUGGGCGCAAGCCUGAUCCAGCCAUGCCGCGUGAGUGAUGAAGGCCCUAGUGUUGUAAAGCUCUUUCAACGGUGAAGAUAAUGACGGUAACCGUAGAAGAAGCCCCGGCUAACUUCGUGCCAGCAGCCGCGGUAAU
rnacentral:rRNA from 1 species